AGUAACCCGAGAAAUGACGAAGUUCUGGAUUCUUCUGGGCGCCGCGAGCCUUUCACGUCCUCUCUAGCUUCGCCGCCGGCCGCCAGCUCCGUCGGUGGCCACCACCGGUCUUCCAUCUCCGAUCACGGAAGACGCAAGGAGCUCGAACCUAGAACUGAAUCACCCUCUCUCGUCUGAGAAAGCAACAUCGAGAGUUGUCGAGCAGGCCGAUGGAUUCAUCGGUGCAUAUGCUUCUUCGAGAUCGGAGACAGAAGCUCGAGGCCUACGACUGAGUCACUGAGUGUUCCGUCGGCCGUUGGCGUUGAACUGCGAAGAGGCUCACGUCGCUGAGUUCGACAAUCAACUUCGGCUCCAUUUCAAUCGCCGUGGUAUGCACUUCGUGUUAUACAGGGAGAGAGAGAAUAAUCGAGAAAUCUUCGUAGACGGCCAGUUCCUUAGGACGUUCCAACGAUGAUGGAAUUUGUCCAUCAAUCAUCACACUUAUCAAAUCGUUUCUUUCCCGAUUAAACUCGGGUGUCAAAUUUUGAAUUCCUUUUUCAUAGCCGCAAAUGAGAGUCACUGUUUCUUCGGUCCAUAUGGUUGCUGGUGCUAAUUGGUUCGAGAGUACUGGUUUGAGUUUGAUGCGGUGGUGUCAAGGUAUGGGAGGUGCCAUGUGUUAGACGACGCACAGAAGGUAUUCGGUGAAAUUAUCCAAGACAAGGAUCAGUAAUGUUGCCUUGCGGAAUUCAAUUAUGCUUAGCCAGGAACCGUAGGAAUGCGCUCAUCUCAGUUAGAGCAUUCGGAUUCCAACAAAUAAGCCAAGUCAAACGUCUCCUUUUACGUAUGAUCAUGUGCGAUUUUGCUUCAUGUUCUGUUUUCGUACUCAUAUUCCCAUCUCUUAAUGUUUCCUGUUCAGAGUACCUCGUUGCUCCCGCCUUUUACUUCAUUGCCACAGAGACCUUUCUUGUUUCAAUCAGUAGCCUGGAGUUGUUUGUCAAGUUGAGUGAAACAGAGUUGCUCUUCUUUGUUAUUGAAUGCUGGGACACGUUAUCAAUUACCUUGAGUUAGAUGUGGUCAAUUUUCAAUAAGAUUCAGAUCAAAUAGUAAUGACCACCAAAGCCCCCUCAUCUUCCAGGUUCUUGCUUCUCAUCUAAAUGAAGUUCAUAAGUAAUUUGUGCA